GAUGAACGCUGGCGGCGUGCCUAAUACAUGCAAGUCGAGCGAACGGACGAGAAGCUUGCUUCUCUGAUGUUAGCGGCGGACGGGUGAGUAACACGUGGAUAACCUACCUAUAAGACUGGGAUAACUUCGGGAAACCGGAGCUAAUACCGGAUAAUAUUUUGAACCGCAUGGUUCAAAAGUGAAAGACGGUCUUGCUGUCACUUAUAGAUGGAUCCGCGCUGCAUUAGCUAGUUGGUAAGGUAACGGCUUACCAAGGCAACGAUGCAUAGCCGACCUGAGAGGGGGGUCGGCCACACUGGAGCGGAGACACGGUCCAGACUCCUACGGGAGGCAGCAGUAGGGAAUCUUCCGCAAUGGGGGAAAGCCUGACGGAGCAACGCCGCGUGAGUGAUGAAGGUCUUCGGAUCGUAAAACUCUGUUAUUAGGGAAGAACAUAUGUGUAAGUAACUGUGCACAUCUUGACGGUACCUAAUCAGAAAGCCACGGCUAACUACGUG
rnacentral:rRNA from 1 species